GGGCCUAUAGCUCAGUUGGUUAGAGCGCACGCCUGAUAAGCGUGAGGUCGGAAGUUCGAGUCUUCCUAGGCCCACCA
rnacentral:tRNA from 2 species